rnacentral:rRNA from 1 species
UACGUAGGGUGCAAGCGUUAAUCGGAAUUACUGGGCGUAAAGCGUGCGCAGGCGGUUUUGCAAGACAGAUGUGAAAUCCCCGGGCUCAACCUGGGAAUUGCAUUUGUGACUGCACGGCUAGAGUGUGUCAGAGGGGGGUAGAAUUCCACGUGUAGCAGUGAAAUGCGUAGAUAUGUGGAGGAAUACCGAUGGCGAAGGCAGCCCCCUGGGAUAACACUGACGCUCAUGCACGAAAGCGUGGGGAGCAAACAGG